AUCGCUUUCGGCCUUUUGGCUCAGAUCAUGUAGUAUCUGUUCUUAUCAGUUUAAUAUCUGAUACGUCCCCAUCGGGGGACUACAUAUUAAAUGGAUUUUUCGAACAGGGAGUCGGAAAUGGGGCUUGCUCCGUCCGCUCCACGCAUCGACCCGGUAUUGCAGUACCUCCGGGAAUGGUGCAACACUU
rnacentral:snRNA from 1 species